rnacentral:lncRNA from 1 species
CAGAGCUAACCGAAUGGAAGAGAAAAUGCUAUCACACUAGCUGUUGCCUUAUAUUUCACUAUCAUCAUAUGACCCCUUAUAACAGUGUGACACAUGGUAUUUCAAACCACAUUUCCAGUACAAACUGGAAACAAAACAACUUGUGAGUGAAGUUCAAUAAAUAUUCUUGUACACUCAUAGCUAAAAGUCAAAAAAUUUAAAGAAAAUCUUUGACAAAAUCCUUAGAGGAAUAUGGCUAUUCAGACGUGGCUAUUGUGUGCACAUUAUCAACACUAGAAACCCAGAGACAUGGAUAGCAAAAGUUAUAAAGAGGAUAAAAGACAAUAUCUGUGGAAUGUGGGGAAUUCUUAUGUAAACUAGGUUGACUUUCAUAUGUAUCAUCCAAAAAUGCACAUAGGCCUACAUUAGCAUUUCAAUGGUUAAAAAUUGGAAAUAUUCCAAAUAUCUGUCAGCCUAAUUGUCUUAAUUGUUUAUAUACAUAUGCGUGUAAAUAUCCAUCAUUAGAUGAAUUCCAUAAACUUAAAGCUGAGCAAUUGCAAAAGUAUUCUUAAAGAAUAUAUAGUAUUGUUUAGAGAUAUUUAUAUGUGUAGGAAGAGCACGGGACUUAUAAUUACAGAAAAUGUGGCUAGUAACCUGAGGGGAUGAGAGAAUGAGGGAAUGAGGGGAUGAUGUAGUUUGGAAACAUAGCUCAGCAGGUUUCAAUUUUAUUGAUUAAAUUCCUUUUUUAAGCUGGAUUGUAAGGACAUAGGAGUUCACUUUAUUAUUUUUUAUGUCUUUCUUUGUCUUUCUUAUGUUUUCGGUAUUAUACAAUAAACAAAUAAAUUAUUCAGUCCAUCCCUGAGAAAAUCUUGGAGGUCUUCUAGUAGCUCAUUUAAUUUUCAUAGUCAUUGGUUGUGUUUUGGAGCCAACUUUCUAAUGUAAGAUAAAAAAAAGAAAAUGCCAAAUUAUAUUUUCUAUCAAGUGAUUAAAAUUGCCUUUUUGGGGAGAUUUCCUGCUGUGGCUCAGUGUUAAGGAACCAGACUAGUAUCCAUGAGGACAUGGGUCCAAUCUCUGGCCUGGCUCAUGGGUUAGGGAUACAGCAUUACCACAAGCUGUGGUGUAGGUCACAGAUGUGGCUCAGAUCUGGCAUUACUGUGUAGGCUGAAAUUGCAGUUCUGAUUUGACCCCUAGCCCAGAAACUGCCAUAUGUUGCCGACUCGGCCCUUUAAAGACAAAUAAAUAAAUAAAUAAAAUUUCCUUUUUUGGACAUACAUGUAAAAUAAAUGAACUGCACAUUUGAUAAAUGAUUUGUUGGUAUAAAAUUGUCAUAAACUAUAAUUUUAAAGACCUUGUCCUCAUUUUGUAAGAAGUAAAGAAAAAUCUUGAUUUUUUUUUUUAAAAAGUACAUAAGGUUAUUUUGACUCUCCAGUCCUAAGAGUCUUUAUAUUAGUGACCUCAGAAUAUUUCUUCUGAAAGUAACCACUCAUCCAUGCUCCCCCAAAACCCUCUACUCCAAUCCUGAGGUUGAAGGGAGUGAUGAGCAGUUUUUAUAAUUGUUGAAAAUAGAAGAUAGUGGAAUUAAAUAGUGCUUAUUAUGAUGAUGCAAACAAAGUGUUUGUUCAAUUAAUAUUGAUGACUGAAAAGUACUGUGAGGGAGUAGAGUAAACAAGGCCUGGGAGGGUCUAAUGGCUGGGAGGGAAAAAAAAACAUUAGGUUUUGCUGUUAGUGGUUCCAUCGGUGUCAUUGGGCCAUUAUUGCAAGUGUUUUUCCACAGCAACCCUUUCUGGAGCAAACUUAGGCCUAUCUCAACAACAUUAACAUGACCACAAUUCCACUCCCCAAACCCUGAUUAUCAGGGAGAGCUUUCUAAAGGGGUUUUUACAGAAGAGGUUUCAAAGACAUAACUGCAAUAUAGCUGAGCAUAUUGGAAAUGAUUAUUUCAAAGAUCAUUAUUUUAUUUUGGAUUCAGGCAAACUAGCUAAUAAAUAGGGUGCAAACUAAGUUUUCUGGUAAUUUUAAGAAUCUUGUUAAAGUAAAAUUACCUUGCCUCAUAUACACACUCUGUGUGGCUUGUCAGCUUUGAGGGGAUUUUACUCAACUAUUCACUCUGUUCAAUAUAUUAAUCUUUUUCUCAUGAUACAAGUCACCUAAAGAUAUUGCACUAUUUAAAGAUCAGCAUUAUGGAUGUUGUGCAAGAGAAGCAGAGAAAUGAGAGCUAAUAUAGAUGUCUCUGGAUAAAAUCCUGCACAAAGUAUGUUAUAUCCUGUUUUGUAAAGUCUGUACUUUUCUUAAGUCACUUCAAUACCAUAUUAAAUAUAAAUAUUACAGUGAAUAGAGUAAGAGAAAUAGGACAGUACGAUUAUUAUGUAAUCAAAUACUAAUAGAUUGUUGGAAAGGUUUAUAUUCAAUACCUCAAAAUGCUUGAACAACCAAUACAUCCAAUUACAUAUGCUCUUGGAAUUAUAAAUCCACAUACUCACAUGUAUAUAGCUAAUACAACUUGUGAUCCAUAUUUCAUUACUUUAACCUUACAUGUAAGACAAUUGUCUGUUUUAUAUGCAGGACCUCGACUGCUCUGUCUACAGAGGUGAUGUAAAAUUUCUACUUGAAUAGCAAUAAAUCAUGUUAAUUCAGCCCUAGUGAAAUGAAACGUGGUAGAGAGGAUGGAAGAAGAAUAGGAAUGAGAAUGGUCAAAACAAAGUAUUGAGCAUAAAAAAUCUGCCCUUUGAAGUUAUGCCCUAAUAUUGGGUUAAGUACCUCCAGCUAUGAAACAAGAACUCAGACCAGCAGGAGUGUUUGUAUAAUUAUAAUAAUCUAUUGAUAGUAAAGCAAGAUAAAGUAAUUUUGUAUGUUUUGAUUUUAAUACAGUGUUUUCUAACCAAUUCAGUGAACACAACUCAAUUAGUUUCAAAAAUGAGGUGAAAAUGGACCACCUGCCAAAGGUUAAUGAGAUAAAAAUGGGUUUCAUUGGAACUACAAGCAGAGCCCACAGUUUGAUUUAAUAAGAAGCCACCUUAUUCAGUUCCUAUUUCCACCACAUUCUGUUCUUAAAAUGAGGCUUAAUGAAAUUGGUUUCACUUAUCAAUGCCUGCAAAAUUAACAUGCUUACCUAAUAUUGACUCAAAACUCAAUCUUCUCUCUUAAACUAUGUUUUCCUAAAAAGAGUGGCUGACCCAUAUAUGCAAGUCCACAUUUUCAAUCCAUCUACUUUCACUAUCAAAGCACUGUCUGGGAAAUGAAUAUGUCCAUUUUUUAAAUAUGUUUCUCUGUAUUUCCAAGGUUUCUAAAUUUGUAUUCUUCAAAAAGCUUUAGAAAUAAAAAAGGAAAUAUGAGGCAUUUUUUUCUUGUGCAAAUCUAAAGCAAAAUUUUAAGAAUUGUCUACUUG